rnacentral:rRNA from 1 species
GACAGAGGGGGCAAGCGUUGCUCGGAAUUACUGGGCGUAAAGCGCGCGCAGGCGGACCGGUCAGUCCGGGGUGAAAUCUCACGGCUCAACCGUGAGAGGUCCCUGGAUACUGCUGGUCUUGAGGGGCUCAGAGGAGAGUGGAAUUCCGGGUGUAGUGGUGGAAUGCGUAGAUAUCCGGAGGAACACCAGUGGCGAAGGCGGCAUCCUGGACCAAUAUUGACGUGAGGAGCGAAAGCCAGGGGAGCAAAACGGGG